UAUGACGGGUAUCCGGCCUGAGAGGGUGAACGGACACACUGGAACUGAGACACGGUCCAGACUCCUACGGGAGGCAGCAGUAGGGAAUAUUGCUCAAUGGGCGAAAGCCUGAAGCAGCAACGCCGCGUGGAGGAUGAAGGUUUUAGGAUUGUAAACUCCUUUUGUUAGAGAAGAUGAUGACGGUAUCUAACGAAUAAGCACCGGCUAACUCCGUGCCAGCAGCCGCGGUAAUACGGAGGGUGCAAGCGUUACUCGGAAUCACUGGGCGUAAAGAGUGCGUAGGCGGGAAAAUAAGUCAGAUGUGAAAUCCUAUGGCUUAACCAUAGAACUGCAUUCGAAACUAUUUUUCUAGAGUGUGGGAGAGGUAGGUGGAAU
rnacentral:rRNA from 1 species